rnacentral:rRNA from 1 species
UGGGGGAUAUUGCACAAUGGGCGAAAGCCUGAUGCAGCGACGCCGCGUGGGGGAUGAAGGCUUUCGGGUUGUAAACCUCUUUCGCUAUCGAACAAGGCCCGCUUAGGGUGGGUUGAGGGUAGGUGGAGAAGAAGCGCCGGCUAACUACGUGCCAGCAGCCGCGGUAAUACGUAGGGCGCGAGCGUUGUCCGGAAUUAUUGGGCGUAAAGGGCUUGUAGGCGGCUUGUUGCGCCUGCUGUGAAAACGCGGGGCUUAACUUCGCGCGUGCAGUGGGUACGGGCAGGCUUGAGUGUGGUAGGGGUGACUGGAAUUCCCGGUGUAGCGGUGGAAUGCGCAGAUAUCUGGAGGAACACCGAUGGCGAAGGCAGGUCACUGGGCCAUUACUGACGCUGAGGAGCGAAAGCAUGGGUAGCGAACAGG